UACGGAGGAUCCAAGCGUUAUCCGGAAUCAUUGGGUUUAAAGGGUCCGUAGGCGGUUUGGUAAGUCAGUGGUGAAAGCCCAUCGCUCAACGGUGGAACGGCCAUUGAUACUGCCAGACUUGAAUUAUUAGGAAGUAACUAGAAUAUGUAGUGUAGCGGUGAAAUGCUUAGAGAUUACAAUGGAAUACCAAUUGCGAAGGCAGGUUACUACGUAAUGGAUUGACGCUGAUGGACGAAAGCGUGGGUAGCGAA
rnacentral:rRNA from 1 species